rnacentral:rRNA from 1 species
GCAGUCGAACGCUGAAGCACCAGCUUGCUGGUGUGGAUGAGUGGCGAACGGGUGAGUAAUACGUGAGUAACCUGCCCUUGACUCUGGGAUAAGCCCGGGAAACUGGGUCUAAUACUGGAUGCUACAUGUCACCGCAUGGUGGUGUGUGGAAAGGGUUUACUGGUCUUGGAUGGGCUCACGGCCUAUCAGCUUGUUGGUGAGGUAAUGGCUCACCAAGGCGACGACGGGUAGCCGGCCUGAGAGGGUGACCGGCCACACUGGGACUGAGACACGGCCCAGACUCCUACGGGAGGCAGCAGUGGGGAAUAUUGCACAAUGGGCGAAAGCCUGAUGCAGCGACGCCGCGUGAGGGAUGACGGCCUUCGGGUUGUAAACCUCUUUCAGCAGGGAAGAAGCCACAAGUGACGGUACCUGCAGAAGAAGCGCCGGCUAACUACGUGCCAGCAGCCGCGGUAAUACGUAGGGCGCAAGCGUUGUCCGGAAUUAUUGGGCGUAAAGAGCUCGUAGGCGGUUUGUCGCGUCUGCUGUGAAAGCCCGGGGCUUAACCCCGGGUGUGCAGUGGGUACGGGCAGACUAGAGUGCAGUAGGGGAGACUGGAAUUCCUGGUGUAGCGGUGGAAUGCGCAGAUAUCAGGAGGAACACCGAUGGCGAAGGCAGGUCUCUGGGCUGUUACUGACGCUGAGGAGCGAAAGCAUGGGGAGCGAACAGGAUUAGAUACCCUGGUAGUCCAUGCCGUAAACGUUGGGCACUAGGUGUGGGGGACAUUCCACGUUUUCCGCGCCGUAGCUAACGCAUUAAGUGCCCCGCCUGGGGAGUACGGCCGCAAGGCUAAAACUCAAAGGAAUUGACGGGGGCCCGCACAAGCGGCGGAGCAUGCGGAUUAAUUCGAUGCAACGCGAAGAACCUUACCAAGGCUUGACAUAUACCGGAUCGUUCCAGAGAUGGUUCUUCCCCUUUGGGGUCGGUAUACA